CGAAAUUGGUUUUGUAAUUAGCCUAUGUUUAAUACUCCUAAUUAGUGUCCAAACAUUCGAUGUGACAGGAGCUAAAGUUUAGUCCGGGGAUCCAAACACCCCCUAACUAUUCAGAUCAAAGGUCACCCUCUUUAGUUUCGGGUAGGACUAAAGACCCAAGUCACCAUGCAUGCGCAUGUACGUAUCCCCCAGUUGGUAUUACCAACCGGGACUAAAGACUUUUUUCUUUUAUAUAUAUAGACACACACGUAUUGAUCCUUAGCGUACACUACUUACACGUAUAUACUCAUAUUGUAUGCAUGUCGU
rnacentral:lncRNA from 1 species